rnacentral:tRNA from 1 species
UCCUCGGUAGCUCAAUGGUAGAGCGGGUGGCUGUUAACCACUAGGUUGGGGGUUCAAGUCCCUCCCGAGGAGCCA